GAUGAACGCUGGCGGCGUGCCUAAUACAUGCAAGUCGAGCGAACAGAUGAGGAGCUUGCUCCUCUGACGUUAGCGGCGGACGGGUGAGUAACACGUGGAUAACCUACCUAUAAGACUGGGAUAACUUCGGGAAACCGGAGCUAAUACCGGAUAAUCUAUUGAACCGCAUGGUUCAAUAGUGAAAGACGGUUUUGCUGUCACUUAUAGAUGGAUCCGCGCCGCAUUAGCUAGUUGGUAAGUUAACGGCUUACCAAGGCAACGAUGCGUAGCCGACCGGAGAGGGUGAUAGGCCACACGGGAGCUGAGACACGGUCCAGACUCCUACGGGAGGCAGCAGUAGGGAAUCUUACGCAGUGGGCGAAAGCAUGACGGAGCAACGCCGAGUGAGUGAUGAAGGUCUUCGGAUCGUAAAACUCUGUUAUUAGGGAAGAACAAAUGUGUAAGUAACUAUGCACGUCUUGACGGUAACUAAUCAGAAAGCCACGGCUAACUACGUG
rnacentral:rRNA from 1 species